rnacentral:rRNA from 1 species
UACGUAGGUGGCAAGCGUUGUCCGGAUUUACUGGGCGUAAAGAGCGCGCAGGCGGUCGUUCAAGUCGCGUGUGAAAGCCCCCGGCUCAACUGGGGAGGGUCACGCGAUACUGAUCGACUCGAAGGCAGGAGAGGGAAGUGGAAUUCCCGGUGUAGUGGUGAAAUGCGUAGAUAUCGGGAGGAACACCAGUGGCGAAGGCGACUUCCUGGCCUGUUCUUGACGCUGAGGCGCGAAAGCUGGGGAGCAAACGGGG